CCCUGGUUAGCUCGGUUGGUAGAGCGCUCCACCUGUAAUAGAGAGGCCCCGGAUCAAUGCCCGGACAAGGCG
rnacentral:tRNA from 1 species